rnacentral:siRNA from 1 species
AUGUCGGACUUUCAAACUACUC